GGGCGUGUGGCGUAGUUGGUAGCGCGCUUGCCUUGCAAGUAAGAGGUCAUCGGUUCGACUCCGGUCUCGUCCA
rfam:Candida arabinofermentans NRRL YB-2248 unplaced genomic scaffold CANARscaffold_2, whole genome shotgun sequence.